rnacentral:tRNA from 1 species
GCGGCCGUAGUCCAGCCUGGUAAGAUACCAGCCCCCCAAGUUGGUGACCCGGGUCCAAAUCCCGGCGGCCGCACCA